CACACACACACACAGACAGAGAAUACACCAAAUAGUGUAAGAAUUGCACCACUCAUUCCUAGUUCCUGGUCAUCCAUCACUGGUUUUCCCAGCACUGUCAUGUCUGGAAGACAACCCUGACAGCCUUACGCAUCUGUGAAAACACAACAGGCAGUUGGAAAACAUGAUCAGAACCAAUCAUUCACUUACAGAUUCCCAUGAUAACCACAGUAGCACAGCAGCAACCACACAAAAUCCCUACAGGUAUGUACAGUAGACACACAGCGGAAGUGAUGAAUUUCAUCCUCGCAACAAAGACAACAUUUGCAACACAUCAUACACAUCUUUGGAAACACAAACAGUGUUGGAAUGCAUUACUCAUGUUAACACUGUCUUCUACUUUUGAUUAGAGACAGGUUGUUUGAAUACGGUUGAUAAUGGGAUGAUUGAUUUUGGCAGUCAGCAGGUGGAUGGUCCUCCCUUUGAAAACAUUGACUCUGUGGUCUCUGCUGGAAACAUGGGCUGAGUCUGGUGCUCAGUCUCUCACCUCUGAUGAAAUGCUGGUGGCUCCCCUGUUUUACUGUCUCUCAUGCAGUACAUUAUUGUGGAGAUCAAUGUUAUCUUCGACCACUCCCAUUGGGGGUAUCAUAGGCUAGUGUUGCUUUAGGUUGGCUUGCUGAGCAUACGUGUAUUCUUUCAGCGUUGCUUUAGCCGUUACUUAGUAGCUGUCAUUUUCAUGUGGGAAAAAGAUGUUAUAAUGUCUUCCUCUUCCCCAUGCAAAGUAUGCAGUUAACAAAAGCAACAUACAAAUAUAGCUCUAUACAAUAUUUAUACCAUUAUGUGACUUGGGAUUUUACUUGACACAGUAACCAGCUGUGGAAUUAACGUUCAGCACAUGUUUAGUCAUCCCUUGAAUGUGUCCAAAUGACUCCUCUUCAUGAGUAAGUAUUUGUCAUGGAAGGAUUUUACUGUACCAUUAAUCACUGCUGUCUAAUUCUUUUUAGCAAGAAAAAAAAGAUUUAUGUUGUAUUUAUGUUCAUUGUACUGGGCAGCAACAGAUAAUACAGUACAUUCUUUUCAUGAAUUAUGCCCAUCCUCUGGAGAAACUGUAAGUCUAAGAUGCCGCAGCUAAAUACCAUUCAUUUUUGAAAGCAGGUGGAAAAAUGCCUCUGUGGUUUAUAUCCUGUGCAGAGAGUAAAUACAGUUUGCAUUGCCAUUGGCACAGGGCUGGCAGCCAGUGAGGCAGCCAGUAAGAUGAAUGAAAGAGAAAGUGGACAGUUUGUCUCUAUGCAGGUAGUCAUGGUCGUCAGUGUAGUCAUCCACAGUGGCUGGUGGAAUGUAAGCCUACUGUGUGAGACAUGACUACUUCAGAGUCAGUGGAACUUGUGGCUCUGACUUGUGGCUGUGCUGGUGAGGAGUUUAGGACAGCAUUGGAGAUAAGCAGACAACUUGCUCCGUUUGAGCGGCUGUCAUUUGGAUGAAUCAUGACAUGGCAGCAGCAGGCCCACUAAAGCGCGCCAAGACCCUAAGGAAUCCUGGUCUCCCCAACAAGAGAUUAGUACAGCUAAUCAAAACAGGGUCUUUUCCACCCAACAACCCACAGUCAAACACACAACGCUGUCCUCGGUUGAUCCUCCACCACCAAUGUACUGGUGAAGAGAUGGUGAAGCAGAUAUGUCACGCUCCAAAAGACACUGCUGCUCAAGCCCACAACUGUUAAAACAGAAAGUCCAAGAAAAGAACCGACCAAUUCCCUACAGCUACUUUUCAAUGACGUCACUAACCAGUUUGCGACACUGUCCAACAAUGACCCAUGGGUCAUUUGAGAGAUCUGUAAGUAUGACUUGCUGUUAAUUGACCUUAAAAUAUCAAGCCACAUGUGCUGGGCUUUCAGAGCAGCAGUGGGCAAGCCUCCCAAACCCUCUUUGGAGUAGUCACAGUUGUGUUUGGACAGCCUGACCUGACAGUGACCAGUGACCAAGUGUAAACACAGAUCAGGUACCCAAGGGGCCUGCAGUGCACUCAGUCUUUUUAAAGUGGGUAAUGCUGGCAAUUUGAGUGGAUUAUAUUUCAGCCAUGCUAAAAGGUUAUCAAAUCUGAAAUUGGUUGCUUUGCUAAUCAAGGGAGCUAGUUAGCAAUUUUUUAGCGUGUCUCCUAGCUGUUAUGGACUUUUUGGAGAAUAAAUUUCCGGCAUUAAAAACAAUCAUUGAAUAAGAAACCACUUAGUUGUGUUUAUGUUCAUGCCAACAGUGCUCAGCUUUACUUCAGUGAUAUGGUUAGAUACCAAACUUAUCACAGUUAUAGCUGUAAUGAUGGUGAAGAAUGCCCUCAAAUACCCUCUUUUCAUUCUGGAACUUUGUAUACCACCACGACACCUGGAUACUCUCCAAAGGUUUCACUGCAGUGAGCAUGCAUAGCGCCACAACCAGUGUGUCAUUAUACAAUACUGUGGUGAGGCCAAUGCAUAUUUUUCAUUUGUCUACGGUGUUAAACCCAUCCAUUUUGGAUUUUGUCAUACACUUCCUCGCUGAGUUGUAAAAACCAGAAAAACCAGAAAUUGUACUGUUUACAUGUAACCCUUCAAUAUUGCAGUGCUUGUGGGCCAUGAAGGAUGACAAAUGCCUGCUGGCCUUUGGUUACGUUGUUUUGUGGCAGUGUCUCUGCUACUAGCAUGCAUUUUUUGAAGGCUAUUUUCUUCCGAAGGGGCUACUUUAUGGUGUGGGGGAAUGUUUUGGAGAGUGGACAGAUUGUACAGCUGUUUGUUUGAUGGUUGCUGUUCAAGCCAGCACAGUUACCUUUGCACCCUGUGGCAGAUACCUCAGUGGGAUGGAAAGACACCACAAACCUUUCCAGCGCCACAACUGGAUCUUUUGCUCAGGAACUUCAAGCCUCAGAUUACAUGACCUUGCAACCCAGUCACAGGGCAAAUUGUCAGUUGUGGGGUUU